AUACGAAGGUCCCAAGCGUUAUUCGGAAUCACUGGGCGUAAGGAGUACGUAGGCGGUUUGGUAAGUCAGGUGUGAAAUCCCGGAGCUCAACUCCGGAACUGCAUCCGAUACUGCCAGACUUGAGUAAUGGAGAGGCAGGUGGAAUUCUCGGUGUAGCAGUGAAAUGCGUGGAUAUCGAGAGGAAGACCAAUGGCGAAGGCAGCCUGCUGGACAUUUACUGACGCUGAGGUACGAAGGCUAGGGGAGCGAAAGGGAUUAGAUACCCCGGUAGUCC
rnacentral:rRNA from 1 species